AUGAAUGAGGAAAGGCCAACAUGUGGAGAGCUGAAAUUAUCCCUGAAGAGUAAGAAGGAAAAAAACCAGUCCACUCAGAAAAGGAGAGAAUAUCCAUGGCACAUAAGUGUUGUGAUCCUGGGAACAGUAUGUCUUUGUCUUCUGAUGUCAAGCACAGUCUUGGGAUAUGUGUUUUUUCAGAGCACUUAAAGCUUCGAAAUUCAACAUGGGAAAGAUGCAAAUGAAAUUGCUAUCUCCUCAAUGGAAGUAGUAGAUCCUUUCGGUUUACCACCUACUACAAACUUUAUUCAGUCACGAUUGAAUUACAGCAAUUGGGUUGGAUUAUGUAAAAAAGGAGGUCAGUUCCAGUGGGUACAACAUAAGGAUGUAAAACUUUCUUCAGGUUUAUGAAGAGAUGAGAUGAGAGCCCUACUCAAGAUGUGGAAGUACAUGGCUUGGGCUAAACCCAAAGCAUUUCAUUUCUUUCUCUGUUCUAACUAUCCCUAGACCCAGGCUUGGAAGCUUCUAGACUCUACAAUCUUGCAGUUCCAAGUUGACUGAUUCAAUCCAACAU
rnacentral:lncRNA from 1 species